rnacentral:tRNA from 1 species
AGAGUAGAUGACUCAUAAUCAUUUGGUCCCUGGUUCGAGCCCAGGUGGGACCA